UACGUAGGGUGCAAGCGUUAAUCGGAAUUACUGGGCGUAAAGCGUGCGCAGGCGGUUAUGCAAGACAGAGGUGAAAUCCCCGGGCUCAACCUGGGAACUGCCUUUGUGACUGCAUAGCUAGAGUACGGUAGAGGGGAGUGGAAUUCCGCGUGUAGCAGUGAAAUGCGUAGAUAUGCGGAGGAACACCGAUGGCGAAGGCAGCUCCCUGGACCUGUACUGACGCUCAUGCACGAAAGCGUGGGGAGCAAACAGG
rnacentral:rRNA from 1 species